AGUGGAUGGGGAGCAACCUAGUUGUGCGUGUGUAAAGGUAGUGCCAAGAAAAGCGGUGAUCAUGAUGAAAAUCAAUUCCCGGUACCCGAAACCGACACAGGUGGGCAAGUAGAGAAUACUAAGGGGCGCGAGGUAACUCUCUCCAAGGAACUCGGCAAAAUGACCCCGUAACUUAGGGAGAAGGGGUGCCACCGAGAGGUGGUCGCAGUGAAGAGGCCCAGGCGACUGUUUAGCAAAAAUAUAGGUCUCUGCAAACUCGAAAGAGGAGGUAUAGGGGCUGACGCCUGCCCAGUGCCGGAAGGUUAAAGAAGUUGGUCAGUCUUAGGAUAAAGCUAGCGACUGAAGCCCCGGUGAACGGCGGCCGUAACUAUAACGGUCCUAAGGUAGCGAAAUUCCUUGUCGGGUAAGUUCCGACCCGCACGAAAGGCGUAACGAUCUGGGCGCUGUCUCGGAGAGAGGCUCGGCGAAAUAGGAUUGUCUGUGACGAUACGGACUACCUGCAUUUGGACAGAAAGACCCUAUGAAGCUUUACUAUAGCUUGGAAUUGUGUUCGGGCUUCCUGUGCGCAGGAUAGGUGGGAGGCGUAGAAGGUAUUCUUGUGGGGAUACUGGAGCCAACGGUGAGAUAGCACUCUCAGGAGGCUAGAAUUCUAACUUAAUUAAGGACAGUUUCAGGUGGGUAGUUUGACUGGGGCGGUCGCCUCCAAAAAGGUAACGGAGGCGUACAAAGGUUCCCUCAGACUGGUUGGAAAUCAGUCGCAGAGUGCAAAGGCAGAAGGGAGCUUGACUGCGAGAAGUACAGUUCGAGCAGGGUGGAAACACGGUCUUAGUGAUCCGACGGUGCUGUGUGGAAGGGCCGUCGCUCAACGGAUAAAAGUUACUCUAGGAUAACAGGCUGAUCUCCCCCAAGAGUUCACAUCGACGGGGAGGUUUGGCACCUCGAUGUCGGCUCAUCGCAACCUGGGGCGGAAGUACGUCCCAAGGGUUGGCUGUUCGCCCAUUAAAGCGGUACGUGAGUUGGGUUCAGAACGUCGUGAGACAGUUCGGUCCAUAUCCGAUGUAGGCGUGAGAAUAUUGAGAGGAGCCUUCCUUAGUACGAGAGGACCGGGAAGGACGCACCGCUGGUGUACCUGUUAUGAUGCCAAUUGUAAACGCAGGGUAGCCAAGUGCGGAGAGGAUAACCGCUGAAAGCAUCUAAGUGGGAAGCCCACCUCAAGAUGAGUAUUCUGGUGUAAGGUCACGGGAAGACGACCCGUAAAUAGGCACGAGGUGGAAGUGCAGAGAUGUAUGAAGCCGAAGUGUACUAAUAGACCGUCGGCUUGACC
rnacentral:rRNA from 1 species